rnacentral:snRNA from 1 species
UUUAGAGACAUUUUGCCCCCAUU